GACGAACGCUGGCGGCGUGCUUAACACAUGCAAGUCGAACGGUGAAGCGCCUUCCUUUUUGGUUGGUGUGGAUGAGUGGCGAACGGGGGAGUAACACGUGAGUAACCUGCUCCCUCCUUCUGGAUAACCGCAUGAAAGUGUGGCUAAUACGGGAUAUUCUGGGUCUGUCGCAUGAUGGGUUUGGGAAAGAUAUUGUUUCGGUGGGGGAUGGGCUCGCGUCCUAUCAGCUUGUUGGUGGGGCGAUGGCCUACCAAGGCGGCGACGGGUAGCCCGCCUGAGAGGAUUGACUGUAAUGCUAUGACGCCGACGCGGCAAAGACUACGACAGGAGGCAGUGGUGGGGAUUAUUGAACAAGCGCAGUAAGGCUGCUGCAGAGCCGCGUCGUCAAGGAUGGGGCUCUUCUUGUUGUGAACCUCUUUCGCCAGUGAACCGAGCCUGCCUCGUUUGUGGCUGUUUUGACGGUAGCUAAAGAAGAAGCGCCGGCUAACUACGUG
rnacentral:rRNA from 1 species